AUGGGAGAGGCCUCCAACACACCCUCUGCCUCCCAGAAAGGCAGCCGGCACACAAUUUCAGCGCCAAGGGGUGAGUGCUGGCACAGAGGGAAGCCAGAAUGUUAUGGAAUUAAAGGAGGGCACCUCAACGGCGGCGAGAACCAGAGAAGGCUUCCUGGAGGAGGUGGGCUCUCACUAGAGGGAAGCACACAGGAAAACCCCAGCUAUCUCCAGGGCUACCUGUCCUUGGCUUGUCCUCCGGGGCAGCUUAGGCCCCUUUCUCCCCAGCUCCACAGCCCUGCAGUCUCAGCGUCCUCACAUGAAAAGACACAAUCCCUACAUCAACCCUUGUUGUGAAGAACAGAGAGAGAGAAUUCCGCUGUGCUCGGAAUGAAGGAGACAGUCCUGGCUUAGGGGUACAGAGGACAGUUCUGCCCCCAUUCCCAGAGUGGCCACGGGGAGCCUCCUCAAGGCCGACCUCAAGAGUUCCUCAGGCCUUACCAGCCAAGCCCAGCCUCUCAACAGGAAACCACCUGCCUCCCCUACAGCUGACUGGCUCCCACUGUGGCAGCUGCUGCAGAGCGUCACCAAAAGCCCCAAGCCUGUGCUGUAAAGUUUGAACAUGAUCAAAAGCCCCUGAAAGACAGGCAUGUAAUAUGCCAACGACCAAGGACGGACUACAGCUGGCCCCAGGGUGCAAAGAACCUCAUCAAAAUGGAAAUAGAUUUGCUGAGAAGAGUCUGGCCUGCGUUUAGAGGGAUGCUGUGCACAGCUGCCGGAAAAGGAGUGAACAUGAAAGCCGAAAGUCAAGUCCCUGUGCCAGCCGGACACUGUGGCAGCCCAACUUCCACCUGGCCAAAGACAGAACCGUGGGGCCAGCGUCCCUCCCACAGGUGGUGAGCUUUCUGCACAGUGCCAUCAUGGCUUUGAGCCAACCUCGCUGCCAGGUGGCAGGGUAAAGUAGAACUGACAAGGGAAGAAGGAAGAAGCAAGGCCGGGGGCAGAGUGGGGCUCACAGAGGGCCCCGGGGUCCCACCUCACUCAUGGGGCAAGGAGGCUUAUUAUGAUUUCAGUCUAGAACCCAGAGAGUAACAAGAAGCAGUGGCAGCCUUUCUGCAUAAAACUGUCGUGGCCACUGACAGCUGGCCAAGGACUUGGGCGAUCGCAGAUUCUAGCCAAAUCUUCCAUCAGCCUCAGGCUGACGUGGGACAGCCUGGCCCCCGCCCUCUAACAUGGGCAGUGAGAUCCCUGCCUGUCACAUCUGCUUACUUGAGCUUGUGGAGUCUUCAAGCAACCAGUCAGCUGACAGGGAUCCAUCAGGCACAGAUGCUCUGCACUGGGAGUGCAAGGGAGCAAGGGGCACGGCACCUGCUACUGCAGAGCUCAGUCCAGAGGGGGAGAAAGCUGAUAAAUAGACAAGCAGAGUCUGUGACCAAUGUCAGAACAGCUAUGGAAGCUCACAUGAGAGCUAGCUGGCCCAGUAUUAGCAGAGAAGGUGAUGGAGAUCAGAGGCGGCUUCCUGGAGGAGGAGACACUUAGGGAACCUUGAAGCCAUGUGGGAAUGCAUAAGAUAAAUAAGGGAGAAAGAACAUUCUAGAAGACAGAGUGAACAGAGGCACCAAACAUGAAACAUCGUGGUGUGUUCCGGGGAUGUUCAGCACCUCACUGUGGCUACAGCCCAAGGACAAAGAGGAGAGGGCCAGGUGACCGGCUCCCGAGAGGUGCAGAGGCCAAGAACGUGGCUCGGAGAGGGCCUCCCGUGAACAUGAUCCUUCAUGAACCAGCCGCCCCUGUUUUUCCAGAGUUAUGAUAUUUCUGCCUUUAGUCCACACACCAAAAAGCUGGAUGUCACUUAGGUCUUGGGUUAUUUUAAGCAACAGGGUUGAUUUUUCUGUACUCAGAUCCCAGCACUGAAGCCCAAACUGCACAUGAGCAUCUGAUGAAGCCAGGUAGGUGGAUGUCGGUCAGCUCAAACCUUGGGUUGAGAAGGGAGCUCAGGAAGAAAUCAAUGAUUUUGGUCCCUCCCAGUCCUUAAGAAUCUUAAAAGCCCCUCAGAUGUUUCUCCAGCCAGUCAGAGCAUCUCCCGAAACGCUAUUUUGAGCCAGGCACAUCCCCUUAAGUGGCUCUUGCCAGCCUGAGAGCCAGGCAGCAGAGUGCUAGUUUCCCAGCUUUGAAGAGAAGGAUCAAUAAGGGACAAGAAAGCCCAUUUUCAGGGGUCUCUGUGCAGCCGGGGCCACUGCAUGGUGUGCCCCCAACUCUCCCCACUUCUUCCUCCUCCCACACACAUGCAAGCCUUACCCAGGAGGUAGGGGUGGCUUCUCCACUAUUCUCUCCUAGAAAACCCAAUGUAGCCUGACCUGACAAGGAGGGUGGGAAGAAUUUAAAGACUGCUGGGUGUCCUCAGCUACUGAGCUGAACGCUCUUUAUAUGCUCCCUCGUUUGGAGCGCAGAGCCCCAGAGCAGCCUCUGCAGCCUGAGUUCGAGCGCAAGCUCCGCCACGCCCUCACUUCUAUCAGCCUGCCUUCUCUCCCUUGCCUCAGUGUUCCUCAUCUGUAAAAUGGGGAUGAUGGUGCCUACGUCUAGGAUUUCAGUGAGAACGCAGCAAGUUAAUAAAUGCAAAGCGCCCAGAACA
ensembl:lncRNA